ACAUAGUUACAUAGUUACAUAGCUGAAAAGAGACUUGCGUCCAUCAAGUUCAGCCUUCCUCACAUAUGUUUUUGCUGUUGAUCCAAAAGAAGGCAAAAAACCUAGUCUGAAGAGCUUCCAAUUUUGCAACAAACUAGGAAAAAAUUCCUUCUUGACCCCAAAAUAGCAGUCAGAUGUCUCCUUGGAUCAAGCAGCUAUUACCCCACUAAUUGGAAAUUAUAUCCCUGUAUGUUAUGUUUUUGCAAGUAGUUAUCCAAUUGCAG